CGGCUCACCCACAGUUUCUUCUGGCCAGGCAUCUCUCAGGAUCUGAGGCAGUACUGCCAGAGAGAGGGGAAGAGAAGUGAAGAUCCGUUCGGCAGAGUAGCUGUUGACAUUAUACUUGCGCAGGCACUUUGGUGACUCUAGAGAACCUCGGGCCAAUCACACGUCCCCGUGACGUCGACUUUGCAUUCGGAUGUCUGCCCUAUCAACUUUCGAUGCCACUUUCUGCACCUAUCAUGGUGACCACGGAUAACAGGGAAUCAGGGUUCGAUUCCGGAG